GCCGGCGAGGGCCGAGCGGGCCGCGCCGAGGAGCCCGGCGAGCCCCUCCGGCGCCUCCGCGUCGGGCACGUAGAGCAGUUCGGCCCGGCCCGUCGGCUC
rnacentral:tRNA from 1 species